UACGUAGGGUGCAAGCGUUGUCCGGAAUUAUUGGGCGUAAAGAGCUCGUAGGCGGUUUGUCGCGUCUGCUGUGAAAACUCGGGGCUUAACUCCGGGCCUGCAGUGGGUACGGGCAGACUAGAGUGCGGUAGGGGAGACUGGAAUUCCUGGUGUAGCGGUGGAAUGCGCAGAUAUCAGGAGGAACACCAAUAGCGAAGGCAGCUCGCUGGGACGGUACUGACGCUGAGGUGCGAAAGCGUGGGGAGCAAACAGG
rnacentral:rRNA from 1 species